rnacentral:rRNA from 1 species
AUUGAACGCUGGCGGCAGGCCUAACACAUGCAAGUCGAACGAGUGGCGGACGGGUGAGUAAUGUCUGGGAAACUGCCUGAUGGAGGGGGAUAACUACUGGAAACGGUAGCUAAUACCGCAUACCAUCAGAUGUGCCCAGAUGGGUUUAGCUUGUUGGUGGGGUAACGGCUCACCAAGGCGACGAUCCCUAGCUGGUCUGAGAGGAUGACGAGCCAACCUGGGGUGGGGAGAUGGUCCAGGCUACUACGGGAGGGAGAAUUGGGGAAGAUAGCACAACGGGCGCAAGCGUGAUGCAGCCAUGCGGCGGGUAUGAAGAAGUCCUUGGGGUUUUAAAGUACUUUCAGCGAGGAGGGGUUACCCGCAGAAGAAGCACCGGCUAACUCCGUGCCAGCAGCCGCGGUAAUAC